GAGUAACACGUGGGUAACCUGCCCAUCAAAAGGGGAUAACACUUGGAAACAGGUGCUAAUACCGUAUAACAAUCGAAACCGCAUGGUUUUGAUUUGAAAGGCGCUUUCGGGUGUCGCUGAUGGAUGGACCCGCGGUGCAUUAGCUAGUUGGUGAGGUAACGGCUCACCAAGGCCACGAUGCAUAGCCGACCUGAGAGGGUGAUCGGCCACAUUGGGACUGAGACACGGCCCAAACUCCUACGGGAGGCAGCAGUAGGGAAUCUUCGGCAAUGGACGAAAGUCUGACCGAGCAACGCCGCGUGAGUGAAGAAGGUUUUCGGAUCGUAAAACUCUGUUGUUAGAGAAGAACAAGGAUGAGAGUAACUGUUCAUCCCUUGACGGUAUCUAACCAAAAAGCCACGGCUAACUACGUGCCAGCAGCCGCGGUAAUACGUAGGUGGCAAGCGUUGUCCGGAUUUAUUGGGCGUAAAGCGAGCGCAGGCGGUUUCUUAAGUCUGAUG
rnacentral:rRNA from 1 species